rnacentral:rRNA from 1 species
GAUGAACGCUGGCGGCGUGCUUAACACAUGCAAGUCGAACGGAAAGGCCCUGCUUUUGUGGGGUGCUCGAGUGGCGAACGGGUGAGUAACACGUGAGUAACCUGCCCUUGACUUUGGGAUAACUUUAGGAAACUGGGGCUAAUACCGGAUAGGAGCUCCUGCUGCAUGGUGGGGGUUGGAAAGUUUCGGCGGUUGGGGAUGGACUCGCGGCUUAUCCGCUUGUUGGUGGGGUAGUGGCUUACCAAGGCUUUGACGGGUAGCCGGCCUGAGAGGGUGACCGGCCCCAGUGGAAGUGAGACACGGUCCGGCCUACUACGGGAGGCAGCAGUGGGGACUUUUGCGCAAGGGGCGGAAGCCUGACGGAGCACCGCCGCGUGGGUGAAGACGGUCUUCGGAUCGUAAACCUCUGUUAUUAGGGAAGAAAAAAUGUGUACGUAAAUAUGCACGUCUUGACGGUACCUAAUAAGAAAGCCACGGCUAACUACGUG